UGGGGAAUAUUGCACAAUGGGCGCAAGCCUGAUGCAGCCAUGCCGCGUGUGUGAAGAAGGCCUUCGGGUUGUAAAGCACUUUCAGCGGGGAGGAAGGCGAUAAGGUUAAUAACCUUGUCGAUUGACGUUACCCGCAGAAGAAGCACCGGCUAACUCCGUGCCAGCAGCCGCGGUAAUACGGAGGGUGCAAGCGUUAAUCGGAAUUACUGGGCGUAAAGCGCACGCAGGCGGUUUGUUAAGUCAGAUGUGAAAUCCCCGGGCUCAACCUGGGAAAUGCAUAUGAGAAUGGCAAGCUUGAGUCUCGUAGAGGGGGGUAGAAUUCCAGGUGUAGCAGUGAAAUGCGUAGGGAUCUGGAGGAAUAACGGUGGCGAAGGCGGCCCCCUGGACGAAGACUGACGCUCAGGUGCGAAAGCGUGGGGAGCAAACAGG
rnacentral:rRNA from 1 species